rnacentral:snRNA from 1 species
CUCACUUCUCAGUCAUCUAGCUAAGAUCAAGUGUAGUAUCUGUUCUUAUCUAUUUAAUAUCUGACAUGUCUAUCCAAGGACAAUACAUUACAUGGAGUUUUGGAGCAGGGAGUUGGGUUAGGAGCUUGCUCCGCCACUCCACACAUUAGCCUGGCAUCGCAAUAUCUCCAGAAACAGUGUACCCCCU